UCACAGCAUUCCAGAGCAUAAUAUUGUUGUCUUGGGGAGCCCCACUGAUGCCUGCAGGCGGGUCUUGCUGCAACCUUUUAAAAUCUCUCAUCAGCCUCUUCCUUGCAGGUGUCGACAUCGUCACCACCCACAAACUUCAGAAAUUCAAUCAAAAGAAAAAUCCAAGUCGUCGUCCUACAUUAUUCUUUCACGUUAACCAAACAUAUCAUCUUGGAUUCAAUUCAUGCAUAUCUCUUUGGAUCAUAAAGACAUAAACACCAAACACACUAAAGACAAAAACCGGUUAAGUAUCAAAGAUCAUAUCAUUCAGCACAAUUAAACAAAGGUUAGAAAGUUACUAUUUACAACAAUUUUCUUUAUUUUUCCAAUUCUCAAUCUACUUUUAGCUACUCAAACCAUAAUUUGUUUUUUUUUUCCUUCAUUUAUGCAUAAAUUGCAGAAUCACUAAAUGGGUGCAAGAAAUUCUCAGUCCACAUCUGAAUUAGAGAUCCCACGCAUCAAACAGUCCAUAAAAGUAGAUUUUUGAUUGCCUCAACAAGGAAAAAUUAGAUCUUUCCUUUGCCGUAACCGAUCUAAUAUAACCAGAACAAGAAAAUAAACAAACAAACUCCACAAAACUAACAACAGAAACUAAAACAAAGAACCUAACCUGAAAGGAGACGGUACGAGAAACUGGUAAACAAGAGGGAAAGCUAAGCGGCUUCAAGUUUCAGCGUUGGAAUUGAUUGAAUUUAU
rnacentral:lncRNA from 1 species